UUCUGUGUACUUUUGAGGUGUGCCCGCUAUGGCAGCCUCUCUUUCUGGCUACUGAAGAGCAAAUUCUUGUUUAUCGGCAAAGCUGUCACCAACUUGUUUGUAUUGGGUUCUAACUUGCACAAGUAACCUUC